rnacentral:rRNA from 1 species
UACGGAGGGUGCAAGCGUUAUCCGGAUUCACUGGGUUUAAAGGGUGCGUAGGUGGGCAGGUAAGUCAGUGGUGAAUUCUCUGGGCUUAACCCAGAAACUGCCGUUGAUACUAUCUGUCUUGAAUGUAGUGGAGGUGAGCGGAAUAUGUCAUGUAGCGGUGAAAUGCUUAGAUAUGACAUAGAACACCUAUUGCGAAGGCAGCUCGCUACACUAUUAUUGACACUGAGGCACGAAAGCGUGGGGAUCAAACAGG